rnacentral:rRNA from 1 species
AUGCCGCCACCUUUCGAUGCAUCAGAGUACAGUCAGCUCAUCUCUGCAGGGCCGUUGCUGCCGCUGCUAGAACAGUAUGCAGGCGUAGGUUCUUAUGACCAGAACACUCUUAGGGGGCCCCCGUGGCAAGUGCAGUCACAAGGCGCUAACGCUGACAAAUGUACGGGCAGCCAACUCCAACUAGCUAGUAUGGCUAAUCAAGAGCCUUCGUGCAGCACGUGGAAUCGGGCAGCACCCAUGUACCUGCCAUCGAUGUCGUACACAGAACCUACAACUACAAUGCACAGCAGCGCCGGCACAUCUACUGCGGGGAGCUCUGAGCGCACGGAAGACGCGUUCCACCAGACAGUAGACAAACAUGCCGCAAAAAAUUUCGAGUCAGAGUCUGGAAUGGCAAUCAUUCCAGCAAUGCCGGCAAGCACCCCUUUGAACACAAGCACUGGCAACUCUCAGGUAGAUGGGACUGCCACCCAUACUGAAGUGAAUGAUGAAACUGAUGACGACGCGCAAGGGGAUGAAGAUGGUGGGCAAUCAGAGAUCGUGGUGCCUCAUCCACCGUACAUUGGGCAGAGAUUUGAGUCAUUCGAAGCAGCAAAGGAAUACUACCAGACAUAUGCAAAGUUCCAUGGGUUUGCGGUCAACACCGAGUACCGUAGGAAAAUUAAGAAAACUAACGAGUACAGCAGAGGUGAGAUGAGGUGCCACAAGGCACGCAGGAACAAGAAGGGGAAAGGCGAUGCGCCUGUCGUUCCGGAACGAAAGAGAGGUAUCAUUCAGAAGACUGAGUGCCCUGUCCGGUAAGUUCGACCUGGUGAAAUUUAUGACCGCCAAAGAGGGUUCACCCCCAUCGAAAGGCAAUUCGUAAAGCUGCUACAUGAUUGUAACGUCGGUCCAUCAAGAAUGGUGCAGAUACUAUCUCUCAUCCGCAGCAAAAAGGGGACUCUGAGUAGCAUGCCGUACAUACCAGCUGACGUCACAAACCUACGGGCAAGGUACCGUAGAGAGAGCAAGUUGGCAGACAUAGAGGCCACAAUUGCCUACUUCGAUGAGAAAGCCAAAGAAGAUGCAGAUUUCUUCUACAGGAUAAGGUUGGACGAUGAGGACCGUGUCAGGAACAUGUAUUGGGUGGAUGGUGCUGCAAGGAGAGCCUACAAACAUUUCCGAGAUUGCAUUUCAUUCGACGCGACGUACCUCACCAACAUGUACAAGAUGCCGUGCGCUCCGUUCAUAGGUAUAAAUAACCACAAUCAGUCGUUGCAGUUCGGCUGCGGGCUCGUCCGGAAUGAAGACACGGAUGGGUACGUUUGGCUGUUCAAGACCUUCUUGGAGUGCAUGGAUGGACUUGCUCCGAUGAACAUAAUAACGGACCAGGAUUUCAGCAUGCGUGCAGGCAUAGAGGAGGUCUUUCCGUUGGCAGUGCACAGGCACUGUAGGUGGCACAUUAUAAAGAAGGCUGAGGAGACGCUAGGACCGUUCUUUGCUGACCGUCCAGAGCUGCACAAGGCAUUCGAACUGUGCAUGGACCAUAGCUUGACGGUGGAGGAGUUUGAAAGGAGCUGGAUGGCCAUGACUGAAACACAUCAAGUCCAAGACAACGAGACUCUUGUAAGCCUAUGGGAGAAGCGAAUGUACUGGGUGCCGGCCUACUUCAUGCAGUGCUUCUUCCCCUUUCUGCAGACUACGCAGCGCAGUGAGGGAUUCAAUGCUGUUUUGAAGCGGUACGUCAGUCCUGGCAACUCAUUGCUAUAG